rnacentral:tRNA from 1 species
GGUGUUGUAGCUCAGUGGAAGAGCAGUUUCAAAUAAUUCGUUUGAAAAAGGUCAUGAGUUCAAUUCUCAUCAGCAGCUCAA